GAUCACUUUCAAAUUCAGAGAAACCCUGGAAUUAACAAAAAUGGGCAAUCCUGAGCCAAAUCCUGUUUUCCGAAAACAAACAAAGAUUCAGAAAAAAAGGAUAGGUGCAGAGACUCAAUGGAAGCUAUUCUAACAAAUGGAGUUAAAUGCGUUGGUAGAGGAAUCUUUACAUCGAAACUUCAGAAAGAAAAAGAAUGAAGUGAAGGAUAAACGUAUAUACAUACGUAUUGAAUACUAUAUCAAAUGAUUAAUGAUGACCUGAAUCCGUAUUUUUUCUAUAAAAAAUAGAAGAAUUGGUGUGAAUCGAUUCUACAUUGAAGAAAGAAUCGAAUAUUCAUUGAUCAAAUCAUUCACUCCAUAGUCUGAUAGAUCUUUUGAAGAACUGAUUAAUCGGACGAGAAUAAAGAUAGAGUCCCGUUCUACAUGUCAAUACCGGCAACAAUGAAAUUUAUAGUAAGAGGAAAAUCCGUCGACUUUAAAAAUCGUGAGGGUUCAAGUCCCUCUAUCCCCAAAAAGACUAUUUCACUCCCCAACUAUUUAUCCGACCCCCU
rnacentral:precursor_RNA from 1 species